UACGUAGGGUGCGAGCGUUAAUCGGAAUUACUGGGCGUAAAGCGUGCGCAGGCGGUUCGUUGUGUCGGCGGUGAAAGCCCCGGGCUUAACCUGGGAAUGGCCGUCGAAACUGGCGAACUGGAGUGUGGCAGAGGGGGGUGGAAUUCCGCGUGUAGCAGUGAAAUGCGUAGAGAUGCGGAGGAAUACCGGUGGCGAAGGCGGCUAUCUGGCCCAACACUGACACUCAGACCCGAAAGCGUGGGGAUCAAACAGG
rnacentral:rRNA from 1 species